AGUGGUCCCGAGCAGUUCAACAGUUCUCAUGCGCAAUUGUGAAAUGUUUCGGACCACUGC
rnacentral:pre_miRNA from 1 species